rnacentral:tRNA from 1 species
GCCCCCGUGGCACAAUGGUACUGCGUCCGCCUCGAAAGCGGAGCCCUUUGGGCAUCCAGGUUCGAUUCCUGGCGGGGGCG